AAGGACUUCCCACAUUCAUUACAUAGGUGGCUUUUGGAAUGACUGUGGAUUCUCUGGUGGUGGGUGAGGAGGAGGGCCUGA
ensembl:miRNA